rnacentral:rRNA from 1 species
ACGCACGCUGGCGGCGUGCUUCACCCCUGCAAGUCGCACGGUGAAGCGAGUGCUUGCACUCGUGGAUCAGUGGCGAACGGGUGAGUAACACGUGAGUAACCUGCCCAUCACUCUGGGAUAAGCACUGGAAACGGUGUCUAAUACUGGAUACGACCAACCCUUGCAUGGGGUGUUGGUGGAAAGAUUUAUCGGUGAUGGAUGGACUCGCGGCCUAUCAGCUUGUUGGCGGGGUAAUGGCCCACCAAGGCGACGACGGGUAGCCGGCCUGAGAGGGUGACCGGCCACACUGGGACUGAGACACGGCCCAGACUCCUACGGGAGGCAGCAGUGGGGAAUAUUGCACAAUGGGCGAAAGCCUGAUGCAGCGACGCCGCGUGAGGGAUGACGGCCUUCGGGUUGUAAACCUCUUUCAGCAGGGAAGAAGCGAAAGUGACGGUACCUGCAGAAGAAGCACCGGCUAACUACGUG